rnacentral:sRNA from 1 species
AAGACAGCAUUUGACCCGAGAAGUGCAAAGGUGUAAUUAGAGGGGGUAGUCGGUGAAUGUCAAGUCCAUCACAGUUGGCCUCAGUUAUGCACUGAAUGUCCAUCCUCAGUUCCCUCAUUGAAGUAUUAAGCUUCUCUGCAAACAUAUUUGGAGGUAAAUGUGAGAGUGACAAAAAGCUGACCACAACGAACACCUUGUCCUUCCCUUCUGCCCUCUGUCCUGGAGAACAUCAGCAAAACAGGUAGCCAGCCUUCACCACACACUGGAUCCACUUGCACCUUCAGUUGAACUUUAUUUCUGUAACAAUGAGGAAUGAAUGCUUACAGUGUAAGCCGUUCAUCUCAAGAACACAUCGGAUUACACCUGAACAGACUGGGUAAACUUCCUACCUAGAGUUCUGCUCCCUCCACUCUAAAGAAGCUCGGCAGCCCAGACCGUCUACUCCUCAUGACCAAGCACUGCCUCAGAAGCAUCAACUUCUCUGGGAUCAGUUCCUAGGCUUCUGAAUCCCUAUCUCUAGAGACACGCCCCUUAACCUCCUAUUUUUGCUGUGAGUAAAACCUUCUAUGUCUACUGGCUUUGAACUUCAGC